rnacentral:rRNA from 1 species
GGAGCAUGUGGCUUAAUUUGACUCAACACGGGAAAUCUUACCGGGUCCGGACAUACCGAGGAUUGACAGACUGUUAACUGCAACACAAGCUGCUAAGUUUUAAACUUAAUAGCUCUUUCAUGAUUAUAUGAUAGGUGGUGCAUGGCCGUUCUUAGUUCGUGGAGUGAUCUGUCUGCUUAAUUGCGUUUCAAAAUUUAAACCUGAGCGACAAGGUGCUGCUAUCGAAACUGUCUUUGAGUGUGAACUAUAAGUCUUUUGACUUAUGACCAUCACUCUAGACGUUUAUGUUUUGGUGUUGGCCCUUGAUGCUCAUUUGAACGCAACGGACGUGAUUGCAACCCCUUGUUGAGAUUUAUCCGAUCUCUACGUUCACUGAACCACACUCUUUAGCGAGAGCAGUGGGGAUGUGGAUAAACUC